CCUGGUACCAUUCAGUCUUUCCUAAUCAUUACAGGACAAGAAUGAGGAAGAAGAGAUUCGACCCAGAAUAAAGAAGCAGAAGGUGCAGCUUCACACCAUGCGACGCAGGCCCCACAGCCACGUUCCUCUCAAGGCUCAAAAUCAGGACUUUAUACCAAGGUUCUCCACGUUGCACAAAGAUCACUACACCUUCCAGAACCCUGCUCAGGAUGUCUCAGUCACGAUUCACAAUAGGAACGGGAAGUAAAAAGCAUUGAGACUGUUCCACUGACAAUUGUUUUACUUCUUUUUUAUCUUCAUUAGCCAGCAUCAGGCAACUUUAACCAACCUCCUAGGCAGUUGUCAGUGAUCACUGUCAUAUUAAAGUGCAUGUUAUAGAUUAUAAAUU
rnacentral:lncRNA from 1 species